rnacentral:rRNA from 1 species
AUUGAACGCUGGCGGCAUGCUUUACACAUGCAAGUCGAACGGUAACAGGUCUUCGGAUGCUGACGAGUGGCGAACGGGUGAGUAAUGUAUCGGAACGUGCCCAGUAGUGGGGGGAUAACUACUCGAAAGAGUGGCUAAUACCGCAUGAGAACUGAGGUUGAAAGCGGGGGACCUUCGGGCCUCGCGCUACUGGAGCGGCCGAUAUCAGAUUAGGUAGUUGGUGGGGUAAAGGCCUACCAAGCCGACGAUCUGUAGCUGGUCUGAGAGGACGACCAGUCACACUGGGACUGAGACACGGCCCAGACUCCUACGGGAGGCAGCAGUGGGGAAUUUUGGACAAUGGGGGAAACCCUGAUCCAGCAAUGCCGCGUGUGUGACGAAGGCCUUCGGGUUGUAAAGCACUUUUGGCGGGAACGAAACGGCGCUUCUAAUACAGAGCGCUAAUGACGGUACCCGCAGAAUAAGCACCGGCUAACUACGUG